CUAGAAUGUGAGGAAAGAAUAAGGAUUUUGAGUUUUCUCAUAAAAACAGAUAGACUGAGCAUUACUAAUCAGCUUUUCUUUGGAGCACUGGUGUUGGGGCUAAUUGGGAUUAACUUUAAUUUGUAAUGUAAAAAUUAAUAAAGAGAACCUCACUAAAAUGACAUUGAGAGGUUCAGGAUGGGGAAUUCUCAUGCUCUACCACUUAUCAUUAAUUGCGGAUCCAAGAGAAAGAGACGGACCUUACAGGGGAAACUGCUUUAUUAUCCCAGCAGGAGAAAACAGGGCUUUCCUGCUUUCCUGGCAACAGCUCAGCCAAUGACAGACAGUCACAACUCAGCCAAUGAGAAGCCGCUAUAUUUAGAGCUCUUAGUUUACUCCAAUGGCCUUUUUGUUUAUAAUCGCUUUCCCCAACUUCCCCUUUUCCUCUAUAAAAGAACCGGUGCCUCUCCUUUGUUCUGCCGAAUAGUCUAUAGUUUUGCUGUAGUUUGUCCUGAGUUAUAAUUUUUUAUUUUCCACGCGUGAACCCAUUUCUGCUGGUAAAGUAACUGACAGUGUUGUUUUUAAACUUAACAGUAUCCAAAGUAAGAGCUAUCCUCUAAUAAACAUGAGAUUUGGGCCUUAGAAAGGUUUUUAUUAAUGUGCUCCUGUAAGCCUUUAACUGAAGUGACUGCCAAAAGAAAUUCUACUCCAGAUGUAGCGCAUUGAGGCUUAUGCUAGCUGCAACAAGUAGCUUUUGACUGACAUCUAUUCACUUCAAGGGUGAUUUUCCUGUUGGCAAGAGGCAGAACAGACACACCAAGCAUCACCUUCAGGAACAAGCAAUUUAAGUACUAUAAUGAGAUGGGUCUUUUCAGAGUCUAUAAUUGGUGACAAGGAUGAGUCUGCGAGAUGUCCAUUACACAACCACGAUGUCAGAGUAGGAGGGCUUCCGCAGAGUUCUCAUCCCCGGGAUCACCCAUGGAUUUCCUCUUGAUUGUCUUCAGUUGGACUGCAAGGCUUUAUGGGAAAAAAGAAUGAGCACUUGACAGGCGUCCUGGUUUCUCAUCUCAGUUUGGGCACCAAAUAGCAGCAUGAUCUCAAUGAAAUAAUUAUUCCAGACAGGAUGAAGGUCAUGGUCAUUAGAGCCCGCCUUGAGGAAGGAAAGGUAAGAGAUUUAUUUAGUGACACAUUUUGAUUUCUUUAUCCAGCUACUUCCAAAAUUGAUACCAUUCAUGGACUGUUGUGUUAUGUGAAUUCAUUACUUUUUUGCUUAAACCAGUCAGAGUUGGGUUUUAUAAUCAUCUGUCAAGAAUGCUUCCAAAAGAAAUGCUUAGGGUAUAGGAGAUUGGACCACAUGACC